AGUAGUUGACUCCGUCGCUACGAGGACGACGCUGGCGGCGUGCUUAACACAUGCAAGUCGAACGGAAAGGCCCCUUCGGGGGUGCUCGAGUGGCGAACGGGCGAGUAACACGUGAGUAACCUGACCCUUGACUUCGGGAUAACUCCAGGAAACUGGGGCUAAUACCGGAUACGGAGCUCCUGCUGCAUGGUCGGGGGUUGGAAAGCGUUCGGCGGUUUUGGAUGGACUCGCGGCUUAUCAGCUUGUUGGUGGGGUAGUGGCUCACCAAGGCUUCGACGGGUAGCCGGCCUGAGAGGACGACCGGCCACAUUGGGACUGAGAUACGGCCCAGACUCCUACGGGAGGCAGCAGUGGGGAAUAGUUGCACAAUGGGGGGAACCCUGAUGCAGCAACGCCGCGUGCGGGAUGACGGCCUUCGGGUUGUAAACCGCUUUCAUCCAUGACGAAGCGUAAGUGACGGUAGUGGGAGAAGAAGCACCGGCUAACUACGUG
rnacentral:rRNA from 1 species